CACAGCAGCCGCACAGUAGACAACAGCUGAGCUGAACAAAGUUUUGCGAAGGGUAAAGUGUAGUGAAUAAGAGACCUUCAAGAGACCAACAUCCCUGGUCCACCACAGUAUAAAAUUUUUGCCAGGUAGGCGGAUACAUGUUGGAUAUGUUAUAGUAACGAUAUGGCUAUAGUUUCUUAUAAUCUGGAAUUGAGUUGGACAUAAUUACUUAAAUUAUAUUUCAAAAAAGUUUGUCAAAAAUACUUGACUCAUUGCUCACCUUCCCCUCUUCUCAAUUUCAUUCAUAAUCAUGUUAACCAAAUAAUACAAAUUAGCUUAUAAAACCAAACAGAAUAGCUAAAAAAGAGAAUAUAUAUAAUUGAUAUAAAAAAAGGGAGGGGGGUGCCCUUUUUCAGUUUCAGCACAUGCCCCUCAAAAGGUCUGUGCACGGCCCUG